AUUGAACGCUGGCGGCGUGCUUAACACAUGCAAGUCGCGCGUGAAAGUCCUUCGGGAUGAGUAAAGCGGCGCACGGGUGAGUAACGCGUGGAUGAUCUACCCAUGAGUUGGGAAUAACGGUUGGAAACGAUCGCUAAUACCCGGUACGUUCCGAUUUCAACUUCGGGAGAAAGGGGGCCUCUGCUUGCAAGCUUCUGCUCAUGGAUGAGUCCGCGUCCCAUUAGCUAGUUGGUGAGGUAACGGCUCACCAAGGCAUCGAUGGGUAGCCGGUCUGAGAGGAUGACCGGCCACACUGGGACUGGAACACGGCCCAGACUCCUACGGGAGGCAGCAGUGGGGAAUAUUGCGCAAUGGGCGAAAGCCUGACGCAGCGACGCCGCGUGAGGGAUGAAAGGUCUUCGGAUCGUAAACCUCUGUCAAGAGGGAAGAAACGUCAGGGCGCUAAUCAGCCCUGAUCUGACGGUACCUCUAAAGGAAGCACCGGCUAACUCCGUGCCAGCCGCUGC
rnacentral:rRNA from 1 species